GAACCUCUAACAGGACAAAGGCAUUUCAUUUCUCACAUAUCCGGACAGAGCUGUAUAGGCUACAAUGACCACAUCACUAAAGUCCUGUUUCUGGAGCUCAAACGUUCAUCAUCUAUGGACCUGGACCAGCACAUAUUUGGAAACAGAUCCAUAAUUUCCAGCAAUGGAUGGACUUAACUUCUCAGAAUUAUUCAGGAACUUCUGAGGAUCACUAAUGGAGAAAAGUGAAGACUAGAUGUAAUUUUAGUCUGCGUAAGGUUUGAAAUGACGUAAACUGCAUACAAUCGAAGGAGUGGAAAUUCUGGAUGACAACUCAAAAUGUUUGUAAAGUGUAUGCAGCAUGACAUUUCUCUAUGCAGCAUUUAAAACAGUCAAGCAGCUGGAAAAGCUAAACAUCAGUUCCAACUGAAAUCAAGAGGCCCUAAAUCUGGGUUUUACUAUUAUUUUCUAUGUAGAAGAAAACUACUUGAUGUAAUGCAAAUGUAAGAAAUGUAUUAUAGGGUCAUGUAGAAGUGGUUGCAUGAUGUCUAAAUGAAUCUAAUAAUAAUUUAUUUUGUAAAGAAGCAAUAAUGGUUGAAUCGGAUGUUCUUUUGUUGUCUCUAUAGGUCUGUGGAUGUCUGACAGACAUAUUAACUUCAGUGUGCAUUGGUAUCUAUUUGCCUUUGUAAUAAAACAAAUUUCA